rnacentral:rRNA from 1 species
AUUGAACGCUGGCGGCAUGCCUUACACAUGCAAGUCGAACGGCAGCACGGGAGCUUGCUCCUGGUGGCGAGUGGCGAACGGGUGAGUAAUACAUCGGAACGUACCCUGAAGUGGGGGAUAACGUAGCGAAAGUUACGCUAAUACCGCAUAUUCUGUGAGCAGGAAAGAGGGGGAUCGCAAGACCUCUUGCUUUAGGAGCGGCCGAUGUCGGAUUAGCUAGUUGGUGAGGUAAAGGCUCACCAAAGGCGACGAUCCGUAGCGGGUCUGAGAGGAUGAUCCGCACACUGGGACUGAGACACGGCCCAGACUCCUACGGAGGCAGCAGUGGGAAUUUUGGACAAUGGGCGCAAGCCUGAUCCAGCCAUGCCGCGUGAGUGAAGAAGGCCUGG